UGAGUAGCACAGAUGAUCGCGCCUAUUAGUUACCGAAAGGUCUUAGGUGAGGAAAGUCCGGGCUUCAUAGGGCAGGGUGCCAGAUAACGUCUGGUGGAGGCGACUCCAAGGCUAGUGCAACAGAAAUAUACCGCCAAUUUUAUUGGUAAGGGUGGAAAGGUGAUGUAAGAGAUCACCGCCUGGUUGGUAACAAACAGGGCAUAUGUAAACCCCACUCGAAGCAAGACCGAAUU
rnacentral:RNase_P_RNA from 1 species